GAUGGAGAAGGUGACUCGAAGUUGGAUUCAAACUCUACAGUUCCAGUCGCGUUGUGGAUUGUGACGGAAGCCAUUCGGAGGCAAAUGACAACAACUGAAAGUGUUUUGAGUGAAGGAACCGAAUGAGCCAGACCAGUUUUGUGAAAGGCAGAUAAGAAAGGAAGGAUUUGUGUGUAUUCAGAUGAAGCAGGGGCUCGGUGACCUAAUUAGUGAAAGGUUUCCCGUUGUGUGACAGUAGUGAAGACCCCUGGAGACCUUAGCGGCUACGUAAGUUGUCCGAGCGGAGAUUGCACUGACGAUAGCUGAAAGUGAAAGAGUUUCCGAACAAGAAAAAAAAACAUGUGGUAGUUAAAUGUUGAAUAAUGUUCAAGGGAAGGCCCGCUGCAGAAG